rnacentral:lncRNA from 1 species
GGAAAGAGAGUGGAGGGAGAAGGAGAAAUGUGUAAGUGGGCUUGGCAAGUUUUCUAAACUAGUGUUCGCAAAGCGGUUCGUCUCAGGAAAAUUUAUUGCUAUAUAACGGCAUUGGAUCCUCAGAUCGCAACUUUUAGAUACCGAUCUAAACCAACUUCAUAUUUGCUGACUUUUAUCUUCAACACUUAUUCUUUUUUCAUCUGCACAACUCCUGGUGGAAAGCAUAAAGAUGAUGAAAAAAUCUUCCACAUGGCGUAGCUGGGGUGGCUCUUACCAUGGCCCACGGCAGGUGUUUGAACAGAAGCUUUCUGUCAUGUAUGACAAACACCAGCAACACAUGGAUGUGCUGCGUUUAGCUUAUGAAAAUUCACUAAAGGUUGCUUUGAUGUUAAUGGAAAGUGAAAAAUCUCCAGAAGCUGUUACAGAAUACCACAAGAGAGUUGCAGAUUCCCUGGCAACUUAUGAGGCUAAUGUGGAAAGGAUCUGGAAAAAAUAUGACGAGGUGACUGCUGACAUUCUGGCAGAUUAUACAAGUAAAAUGAAAAUCAGUGGAAACAAAAGAAACUCUAACAUUGAGCAAGAUGAAAAGCAAUAGGUUACUAAGGUUGUCUUAUAUUUUAACUGUUGAAAUAAAUUUUUAAAAAAAUUUUAAUGAAAAAAAUUACCUCAUCAGAUGAAUAACAAGUAUAGUUUGGAGAAACUAACUUAUAGUAAUUUAUCAUAUCACUCAGUAAUGAUAUUUUUCUAUAUGUAUUUUGUCAUUAAUUUGUAAUACGAAAAUUAAUUUCCUUUU